GAUCACAUUCUUGCUUUCCUUUCCAAGCCAGCUUCGCCAACACUGCGGAAAUCAAAAUACAGAGCGGCUCUGCUCUCAGACUACCUCAUUUACUUUGGCUGGUUGUGUGCUGCUGCCGCUGUGCGAAUAGGGACAAUAGUUCUCUUCAAAAUUUAGCGGAAAAACUUUACAGGGUAAGUCCGAAUUUUGUUUUCUUUUUUAUCAAAAUUAGAAGACAUUUUAUUAGUUGCUAAAUUCGAAAUUUGCUGCUGCUGUCUUGCAGCUGGGCUUCUUAAAAAUAAAAGGGACUGGCCCAAUAAUCCUUGUAAUCUGUCAGAGCUUGUAGGCGGUGCGUUCAAGACACUGAAAGGAAACCACAGCUUCCAUUUAACCUGACUGGGGACAUUGAUGGACUGCCGUCAUGACUAAGCCACAGAGGGAGGCACACUAUCAUGGCCUGAUUAAUCAGGGAGCCACAUGUUACCUCAACAGUGUCCUGCAAGUUCUCUUCAUGACCACAGAGAUUCAUGACAGGUUGGAUCCAGAAAAACAGAUCACAGAUAAGGAGCUGAGACGCCUCUUUAACAAAUUAAAAGAAAAAACAUGUGGAACAGAAAACAUCACAAAGACUUUGAAGAUAAAAAAUGGUAAGUUGGACAGGGAUCAAUAGAAAAACAUGAAACAGCAUCAAGAUGGAAGGUCACAUAGCAGCUGUAGAUUCAGUGAAAUGGAUUUAGUAAACUGGAUUAAAUCUCACAAAUCAUUCUGCAGUUAAUCAACAGCGUGAUGCUGCUGAAUGCCUGGAGUUGAUUUUAAAUGAAGUCAGCCAGCAGGCCUCUGAGGUGAGCACUUUAAAAAAAAUCUACAAUAUUAUUUACAGGAUAACAAAUCAGAAUGCUUUGUGAUGAUAGAUCUUUUUAUGCACAGGUUUUCCAAGGACAGCUGACAUACACAAUAAAAUGCUUCAAAGGCCACAUCAUCAAUGAAGAGACAAAUCCAUUCUGGACUCUCCCUCUGUCACUGAAAGAUGAUGAUACAACCUACAGUGUGGAGAGCAGCUUUAAGAGGAUUUUCCAGACAAAAACGUACACUGGAGAUAACAUGGUGUACUGUAAUGACUGUAACGACCAGACAGAUGCAACAAGUAACAAGAUGUACAAACUGUAUGGGAUGGUGGAUCACAUGGGCAGUCUAAGAGGUGGACAUUACACAGCCACCAUCCUGUCUGACAAGGACAAAAGCUGGUAUGAGUUUGAUAAUACUCAUGUCAAGAAGGUAAGGUUUACUUAAUCUGUUCCAUUUGGAUAUUGCAUAUUCAAAACAUACCAACAGAAAGAGCAAACCUUAAAUACAUUUUUGUUGCCAUUGUUUUUUGUUUUGUUUUAUGCUGAAGGUUAAAGAGCAGCCAUUUGCCGAAACCGGGCCUUACAGGUAAAUUUGAUGGAACAAAUUUGUUGUAUUAUAUCAGUAAUAAUAUUUGAGACAUAACAAAAGUGGUUAAGUGUUCACUGUCUGCUAUCACCUCAAAAUUAUUGUUCACCAGGUCCAGGACUGUCUAUCUACUCAUGUACAGAGGUAGGACUAUAAGAAAACACACAAGUUAAUUUAGGCCAUUGUUGUACAAUUAACAGAUUGUUGCCAAAUAUGGUUUGUCUCUUCAAUUCAAAGCUGCUGAGCUGCAGAAGUCCCCUGAGACCAACAAGCUGGAAGAUCUGAGACAAGACGAUGCGGAACCAAAGAGAAGUUCAGUAGAAAGGGAUGCUGAUGAUGAAAAUAAGGGACAAUUAAGACAGAAUGACACAGAUGAGGUACAGGAGACAAGUGAUGAGGCUCUAAACAGUCAGACUGGAGGAGAGGAGGAUACUGCAGAAACUGGAAAGAAUGUUUUGGAUGAUGAAGUUAGAUCACAGACUGAGCCUGAAAGGGAGCCAUCGAACAGAGUGAAGCUCAGAGAGGAGAAGGAUGACACAGCAGGAGAGCCAGAGUGUGAAAGGUUUGGAUCACAUGAUAAAGAUGAUAAGUCAGUCGGAGAAAUAAGUCACAUCAGAGACAUGAAAACUGAUGAGAACUGCGGAAAAGCUAGUGAGGUAGAAAACAGUGUAGAUGUAGAGGCACAGGACAAUCUGAAUGUAAAUGUUGGAGAACAGUCGAAAGACUCCACUGAACAACAUCUGGAUGAAGAGGCAAAGACAGACAAGGAGGAACAAAGAGGUAAAAAGAAGAACAUGUGUUCUACUGUCUGCGUGUCUAUGGAAAGUGUGUGUCUAACUCGGCAUACAAAAACAACUACUUUUAUUGACUCUUUGUAAUUGAUGUUAUACAUUCAGGCACUUUUUGCAACUAUGCAUUGAUUAGCUAUAUACAAUAUACGAAAAACACUCAUCUAUCUAUU
ensembl:lncRNA